GGCAGUCCGGCUGGUUAAAGGAAACAGAAGCUCCUAUACCAUAGUCCGCUCUGCUUGGCCACCCUUCAUUGAGUGACUGGCAGUAGGGAGCACUGUGCGCUUCCCUCCUGCCAGGUCUCUCUAAUCUAGCGCCCCCUGAGCUGCAGUGCCCUAAGGGGGCUACCUAUGCCACCUUAUGAACGUGCUGGCCCUGGGCUAGAAUCAGAGAACAGAGUACAUUGAAAUUAGAUCAGAUAGCAUAAAGUGACUAAAUUCAAAAUAAACCAGACUAUAGUAAAUGAUCAUCCAGGACAUUGCUCACAACUUUGCAAUCAAUAUUGUAAGAAAUGUUUGACAUGGUAAGAUAGUAAAUCUUAACACUUUAUCCUUUCGUAUUUACCUUACCUUCAACCAAUCACUAUCCUCCACUAUUCC